AAUUGAAGAGUUUGAUCAUGGCUCAGAUUGAACGCUGGCGGCAGGCCUAACACAUGCAAGUCGGACGGUAGCACAGGAGAGCCUGCUCUCCGGGUGACGAGUGGCGGACGGGUGAGUAAUGUCUGGGGAUCUGCCCGAUAGAGGGGGAUAACCACUGGAAACGGUGGCUAAUACCGCAUAACGUCGCAAGACCAAAGAGGGGGACCUUCGGGCCUCUCACUAUCGGAUGAACCCAGAUGGGAUUAGCUAGUAGGCGGGGUAAUGGCCCACCCAGGCGACGAUCCCUAGCUGGUCUGAGAGGAUGACCAGCCACACUGGAACUGAGACACGGUCCAGACUCCUACGGGAGGCAGCAGUGGGGAAUAUUGCACAAUGGGCGCAAGCCUGAUGCAGCCAUGC
rnacentral:rRNA from 1 species